ACAAAAAGUCAUACGAAUGAUUUUUUUUAGUUCAUGGUUCAGUUAUCUUAAAAGCAUAAGAAUGACUAUACUUUAUUGUUUUUGUUUCUAGUUUCGUUAAAACCGCAAAAAAAUGAGCAAGCACUGUGUCAGAUGGAAGUUCUACGUGGUUUAUUCAACAAUUUUGAUCAGUUUUUUGAUAAUUUUAUUGGGGUACAUUGACGGUAAUGAAGCAAAAUCUGAUCUUCGAUUGAAUAAAAAUAAUUAUUCCAGGUUCAAAGUGAAUGGACACAAUUAUAGCUCCAUAAGUAAUCACAGUUCGCCGUUCAUGUCAAAUUAUAGUUUUAUGACAAAUCAUUCUUUCAAGAGCAGUUUUAAUUCUACAGAUGACGGUCCUAACUGUCGUCCUAUCAAGUCCAAUGCAACUGACGAUUGUUUUCUGACAACUGCUCAAAUAAUUGAAAGGAACGGAUACUGUGCUGAGACUCAUCAGCUGACGACUGAGGAUGGAUACAGGCUGCAAUUUUUCAGGUUGCGUGAAUCUUGUCCGCGUGACUGUUUUGGCACAAAUCAACCAGUUGUCAUUUUAGUGCAUGGAAUGCUGGGCAGCUCUUCGGAUUUCGUUUUUGCGGGAGUGGAAAAAGGUCUUGGUUUCCAAUUAAUGUAUAAUGGAUUUGAUGUUUGGCUAUUGAAUCUUCGAGGUAAUGUCUACGGAGGACUUCAAAAUAAACCUGGUGAUUUUUGGGAUUUCAGCUUCCACGAAAUGGGAAAUUACGAUCUGCCGGCUUACAUAGAUUACAUCUUGGAUUACACUAGACAGGAAAAACUUUUUUACGUUGGAUUCAGCAUGGGAACGACUUCCGCCUAUGUUUUGCUAUCUAUGAGACCAGACUACAACCAGAAAAUUAUUAGAAUGGCAAAUAUGGCUCCCGUUGUUUUUCUUGACCAUUCUGAAACGACUGUUGGCGGAAAAAUGAUUGUCAAGAUCAGUCACUGGUAUGAGAAGACAAGCAACUCUGUGAAAGCGAAUGGAUAUAAAAAAAAACCGAUCAAGCUUUUAACAGCUCCUGAAUGUCUGAGACCCUUAAAAAGGUACCAAUGUGAAAGAAUCAUGGUGUACACUUGUAGCAAUAAGACGCUGUCGCAUAAUGAUAAGUGCAGUCUCAAAGAAACAACAUAUCGCCGAAUGUCGGAGGAUGAACGAAAAAAGUGGCGUUGCUUCCAUGUAUGUAAGUAUUCGAAAAGCGCUAAAGGGAGCACAUCUUCAGGAAUUGUGGGAUAGUUUCUUUAGAACUGCUCUAGCGGGCGGGUCUUCCAAAGCUGUAGCUCACUUUCUUCAAAUAUCUCAGAGUGGAAUAUUUCGUCCUUACUCAUACAUUGAAACGCAAAAUGAGGAAUUAUACCAGUCCAAGGAGCCAUCUCCCUAUGAGUUGGAAAAUGUCAGAGUACCCAUCCUCUUGAUAAUUGGAGAUGGAGAUCAAUUCACUGUUCAAAAGAACAUUGAUGACAUGAGGAGCAGGCUGACAUCGUGCCCUUCAUUAGAAAUAAUUCAUGUAGCUGAUGCAGAAUUUAAUCACAUGGAUUUUUUCCUGGCAAAGGACGUUGUCUCAUUGGUUUACAAUCCUCUAAUAGAUUAUCUGAAAACUGGCAAAGUCUGAACUACUAUCAUCUAAGUCUACAUAGAGCUGUAUCACAAAAUUAUAAUCGUUAUAACCUAUUUGUUGAAUGUGCCAGAUGAAUUAAAGAGUGUAUCAAAUCAAA